rnacentral:snRNA from 1 species
AUCGCUUCUCCACCUUUUGGCUAAGAUCAAGGGUAGUAUCUGUUCUUAUCAGAUAAGCUCUUCAGAGAAACAAAGGAUAAGAAUUCUUUUCCCUUUCUGCUACUUGCCCAGGCUGACCCCCU